UACGGAGGAUCCGAGCGUUAUCCGGAUUUAUUGGGUUUAAAGGGUGCGUAGGCGGGAAAAUAAGUCAGUGGUGAAAUCCUACAGCUUAACUGUAGAAUUGCCGUUGAUACUGUUUUUCUUGAGUAUGGUCAAGGAAGGCGGAAUGUGUAAUGUAGCGGUGAAAUGCUUAGAUAUUACACAGAACACCAAUUGCGAAGGCAGCUUUCUGGCCCAUUACUGACGCUGAGGCACGAAAGCGUGGGGAUCGAACAGGAUUAGAUACCCCGGUAGUCCCU
rnacentral:rRNA from 1 species